CUUGACAUCCAGAGAAUUUAGCAGAGAUGCUUUAGUGCCUUCGGGAACUCUGAGACGGGUGCUGCAUGGCUGUCGUCAGCUCGUGUUGUGAAAUGUUGGGUUAAGUCCCGNAACGAGCGCAACCCUUAUCCUUUGUUGCCAGCACGUAAUGGUGGGAACUCAAAGGAGACUGCCGGUGAUAAACCGGAGGAAGGUGGGGAUGACGUCAAGUCAUCAUGGCCCUUACGAGUAGGGCUACACACGUGCUACAAUGGCGCAUACAAAGAGAAGCGACCUCGCGAGAGCAAGCGGACCUCAUAAAGUGCGUCGUAGUCCGGAUUGGAGUCUGCAACUCGACUCCAUGAAGUCGGAAUCGCUAGUAAUCGUAAAUCAGAAUGUUACGGUGAAUACGUUCCCGGGCCUUGUACACACCGCCCGUCACACCAUGGGAGUGGGUUGCAAAAGAAGUAGAUAGCUUAACCUUCGGGAGGGCGUUUACCACUUUGUGAUUCAUGACUGGGGUGAAGUCGUAACAAGGUAGGCGUAGUGCU
rnacentral:rRNA from 1 species